rnacentral:rRNA from 1 species
UACGUAGGGUGCGAGCGUUAAUCGGAAUUACUGGGCGUAAAGCGUGCGCAGGCGGUUCGUUAAGACAGAUGUGAAAUCCCCGGGCUUAACCUGGGAACUGCAUUUGUGACUGGCGAGCUAGAGUAUGGCAGAGGGGGGUAGAAUUCCACGUGUAGCAGUGAAAUGCGUAGAGAUGUGGAGGAAUACCGAUGGCGAAGGCAGCCCCCUGGGCCAAUACUGACGCUCAUGCACGAAAGCGUGGGGAGCAAACGAGGAUUA